rnacentral:rRNA from 1 species
UACGUAGGGGGCAAGCGUUGUUCGGAUUCAUUGGGCGUAAAGGGUGUGUAGGUGGCGCCGUAAGUCGGGUGUGAAAUCUCGGGGCUUAACUCCGAAACUGCAUUCGAUACUGCGGUGCUUGAGGACUGGAGAGGAGACUGGAAUUCAUGGUGUAGCAGUGAAAUGCGUAGAGAUCAUGAGGAAGACCAGUGGCGAAGGCGGGUCUCUGGACAGUUCCUGACACUGAGACACGAAGGCCAGGGGAGCAAACGGG